GAUGAACGCUGGCGGCGUGCCUAAUACAUGCGAGUCGAGCGAACAGACGAGGAGCUUGCUCCUCUGACGUUAGCGGCGGACGGGUGAGUAACACGUGGAUAACCUACCUAUAAGACUGGGAUAACUUCGGGAAACCGGAGCUAAUACCGGAUAAUAUAUUGAACCGCAUGGUUCAAUAGUGAAAGACGGUUUUGCUGUCACUUAUAGAUGGAUCCGCGCCGCAUUAGCUAGUUGGUAAGGUAACGGCUUACCAAGGCGACGAUGCGUAGCCGACCUGAGAGGGUGAUCGGCCACACUGGAACUGAGACACGGUCCAGACUCCUACGGGAGGCAGCAGUAGGGAAUCUUCAGCAAUGGGCGAAAGCCUGACGGAGCAACGCCGCGUGAGUGAUGAAGGUCUUCGGAUCGUAAAACUCUGUUAUUAGGGAAGAACAAAUGUGUAAGUAACUAUGCACAUCUUGACGGUACCUAAUCAGAAAGCCACGGCUAACUACGUG
rnacentral:rRNA from 1 species